rnacentral:rRNA from 1 species
UACAGAGGGUGCGAGCGUUAAUCGGAAUUACUGGGCGUAAGGGCGCGUAGGCGGCCUACUAAGUCAGACGUGAAAUCCCCCGGCUUAACCUGGGAACUGCGUCUGAUACUGGAAGGCUUGAGGAUGGGAGAGGGAUGUAGAAUUCCAGGUGUAGCGGUGAAAUGCGUAGAUAUCUGGAGGAAUACCGGUGGCGAAGGCGGCGAUCCCUGGACCAUUACUGACGCUGAGGCGCGAAAGGCUAGGGGAGCAAACGGG